rnacentral:rRNA from 1 species
UACGUAGGGGGCAAGCGUUGUCCGGAAUCAUUGGGCGUAAAGAGCGUGUAGGCGGCUCGGUAAGUCCGCUGUGAAAGUCCAGGGCUCAACCCUGGAAUGCCGGUGGAAACUGUCGAGCUAGAGUCCGGAAGAGGCGAGUGGAAUUCCUGGUGUAGUGGUGAAAUGCGUAGAUAUCAGGAGGAACACCGGUGGCGAAGGCGGCUCUCUGGACCACAACUGACGCUGAGGCGCGAAAGCUAGGGGAGCAAACAGG